GCAGUGGUAAUCAAGUGGUUAAGAUGCCAGCCUGCUAAGCUGGUGCCUGUAAGGGCGCGAGGGUUCGAAUCCCUCCCACUGCG
rnacentral:tRNA from 1 species